CCUACGGGUGGCUGCAGUGAGGAAUAUUGGUCAAUGGGCGCUAGCCUGAACCAGCCAAGUAGCGUGAAGGAUGACUGCCCUAUGGGUUGUAAACUUCUUUUAUAGGGGAAUAAAGGGCCGUACGUGUAGUGCUUUGCAUGUACCUUAUGAAUAAGGAUCGGCUAACUCCGUGCCAGCAGCCGCGGUAAUACGGAGGAUGCGAGCGUUAUCCGGAUUUAUUGGGUUUAAAGGGUGCGUAGGCUGUCUUUUAAGUCAGCGGUGAAAGGUCGGGGCUCAACCCCGGACUCGCCGUUGAAACUGGCAGGCUUGAGUGUGAGGAAGGUAGGCGGAAUGCGUGGUGUAGCGGUGAAAUGCAUAGAUAUCACGCAGAACUCCGAUUGCGAAGGCAGCUUGCUGGGGCCGAACUGACGCUGAGGCACGAAAGCGUGGGUAUCGAACAGGAUUAGAUACCCUAGUAGUC
rnacentral:rRNA from 1 species